rnacentral:rRNA from 1 species
AACGAACGCUGGCGGCAUGCCUAACACAUGCAAGUCGAACGAGACCUUCGGGUCUAGUGGCGCACGGGUGCGUAACGCGUGGGAACCUGCCUUUAGGUUCGGAAUAACUCAGAGAAAUUUGAGCUAAUACCGGAUAAUGUCUUCGGACCAAAGAUUUAUCGCCUUUAGAUGGGCCCGCGUUGGAUUAGCUAGUUGGUGGGGUAAAGGCCUACCAAGGCGACGAUCCAUAGCUGGUCUGAGAGGAUGAUCAGCCACACUGGGACUGAGACACGGCCCAGACUCCUACGGGAGGCAGCAGUGGGGAAUAUUGGACAAUGGGCGAAAGCCUGAUCCAGCAAUGCCGCGUGAGUGAUGAAGGCCUUAGGGUUGUAAAGCUCUUUUACCCGAGAUGAUAAUGACAGUAUCGGGAGAAUAAGCUCCGGCUAACUCCGUGCCAGCAGCCGCGGUAAAGUGACUACUG